rnacentral:ncRNA from 1 species
CAAAGGNUUGGUCNUGNUUUUACUAUCAACUUUAGCCAAANUUACACAUGCAAGUAUCCGCACCCCCGCGAGAAUGCCCCACAGUUCCCUUCCCGGGAACAAGGAGAAGGUAUCAGGCACAUCCCCCACAAGCCCAGGACACGUUGCUUAGCCACACCCUCAAGGGAACUCAGCAGUGAUAGACAUUAAGCUAUAAGUGAAAACUUGACUUAGUCAAGGUUAAGAGGGCCGGUAAAACUCGUGCCAGCCCCCGCGGUUAUACGAGAGGCCCAAGUCGAUAGACUCCGGCGUAAAGAGUGGUUAAGAUAUAUUUAUUAAUAAAACUAAAGCCGAACGCCUUCAGGGCUGUUAUACGCUCCCGAAGAUAAGAAGUUCAAUCACGAAAGUGGCUUUAUACCAACUGAACCCACGAAAGCUAUGACACAAACUGGGAUUAGAUACCCCACUAUGCCUAGCCAUAAACAUUGAUAGUACAAUACGCCUACUAUCCGCCAGGGUACUACGAGCAUCAGCUUAAAACCCAAAGGACUUGGCGGUGCUUUAGAUCCACCUAGAGGAGCCUGUUCUAGAACCGAUAACCCCCGUUCAACCUCACCCUCCCUUGUUUUUCCCGCCUAUAUACCGCCGUCGUCAGCUUACCCUGUGAAGGCCUCAUAGUAAGCAGAAUUGGCACAACCCAAAACGUCAGGUCGAGGUGUAGCGUAUGGAAGGGGAAGAAAUGGGCUACAUUCACUGACACAGUGAAUUACGGACGAUAUACUGAAAUAUAUAUCUAAAGGAGGAUUUAGCAGUAAGCAGGAAAUAGAGUGUUCUGCUGAAAUUGGCCCUGAAGCGCGCACACACCGCCCGUCACUCUCCCCAAGCCUAACAAUCUAAAUAAUUAAAACCUUACAAUCGCAAAGGGGAGGCAAGUCGUAACAUGGUAAGUGUACCGGAAGGUGCACUUGGAAAAAU